GUCUUCGUGCUGUAACAGUCAGCACACUCGACGUGUAUUCGAGAGGUCCGAGGUUCGAGUCCCGGCGAGGGCA
rfam:Stegodyphus mimosarum contig110589, whole genome shotgun sequence.